rnacentral:rRNA from 1 species
AUGAAGGAGGAGGAGAAGGAGAAGGCGCCGCCGCACCCGCAUGCCCAUGGCGCCACCGCCGCGGCGGCCGCCGCCCCUCCUCUUAGGGCGCGUCUGGGAGAUGAACAUGGAUCUGCUUCUGUGUAUCGUGUUGGCGCGCUGGAGAAGGCGAUUGCAGGGUUUGCGCAGAGGGAAACAGAGGCCGUGGUCAAUCCAACUGUCGGGAGUUCCUUCUUUUCCCUCGACGAGGCAUAUGAAUUCUACAACAUUUAUUCUUGGGAAUAUGCUUUUGGAGUUAGGUAUGGAGCCAGUAGUAUGGAUUCUCAUGGAACUAAAUGCAUACAACAAUUUGUUUGUGCAUGUGAGGGUAAACCAACCAAGGACAGCAAUUCAUUUCAUCGGUGUGAAUGCACAGCGUCGAUUCUUUUGCUGAGAUCCAGAGACGACGGAUGGCAUGCGUGUGAGCAUCAAGUUGGGCAUAACCAUCCACUUUCUAAGAUGUGUGCGCAGAGAUCAUCUUGGCAGUCUCAUAGUAGUAUUGACAAGAACACAAGGGGCUUGAUUCGUCAACUAAGGGAAAACAAUGUGCCACACAUCUCUGAUAUUGAUGGAAAGAAUCCGCUGUCUGAUGAUCUCAAGAAGGCCCUGGAAACCUUUGCUAGGAUCAAAGCAAAGGAUCCAACAUUUGAUUAUACUGGUUUGCAGCUUGAUAGUAACUGUAGAGUAAGGCCACUAGUCUGGACCAGUGGCCAGAGACUUCAGUACCAAUACUUUGGUGAUGUGAUUAUCUUCGACACCACCUACAGAUCGGACAAGUAUGGGACGCCGUUCGGCCUUUUUGUUGGAGUCAACAACAACUUUGAGACCAUAUUGCUUGGUGGGGUGCUGAUGAUAAACGAGAAAAUGGAGAGCUACAAAUGGGUACUCAGUCAGUUCUUCCAAUUAAUGGGUGGGGAACACCCCAAAACCAUACUGACCGAUUGCUGUGAGGCAAUUGAGGAAGCCGUAUUGGAGGUACUGCCAUCCACAACACACAGAUGGUGGAAGUGGAAUGUCCUUGGCAGGGCAAAGGACUACCUUGGUUUUCAUUACACCAAAACGAGUAGCUUCGGAGUGGGGCUCCACAAAAUUCUGAACGACAUGCUGACGGCUGAUGAGUUUGAGAGAGCAUGGGAGAUGCUGCUAGAGGAGCAUGGAUUGGAGAAUCAUCCAUUUCUGAAGGAGAUCUAUGAGGUGCGGCACAAGUGGGUCAAGGCAUACUUCAGCGAUACAUUCUGUGCUACGCUAACCAGCACACAAAAGAGCGAUUGCGCGAAACACUUCCUGAAACAACAUCAUUCGAGUGAGCAACUGGACUAUGGGUUUCCGGAGCAGAGUACUACUAUGGAUGAGAUUGUUCUGAGGACAAAUGUACCAAUCGAGAAGCACGCCAGCGAGGUGUACACAAGACCGGUGUACGAACAGUUUGUGCAGGCCAUACGCGAAUCCGAGCCUUACAUGGUGGAGGCAGUCAUCCCCAACCUGAGGUACAUAGCACGGCGUCCCAGCAGUGAAACUAGGCAGAAAUGGUCUAGGGUGGAAUAUGAGGUGAAUGUUAGAGAAGACGGCGAAGCGUUCAUGUGCGUGUGCAAGCAAUUCGAGCACACGGGGAUGCUCUGCUGCCCUGCUGUCAAGGUGAUGAUCCACCUGGGCGUGCGUGAAAUACCAAGGUUACACGUCAUGCCACGCUGGACAGCCAAGCCGCUCCAGUGCCAGAUGCACUGCCGCGGUGAACCUCGGACGGACACGUGCCAGCAAUGCAGGCACUCCAUGCUGCAUGACCAGUUCUUAUACCUAGCGCAUCGCGCCUGUGAGGAUGAACGGUGCUACAAGGUCGUCGCGAGGGGCCUCAGCAAACUGAACAGAGAAUUGGCCGCAGAAAAUGCUGUGCCCUGCCGCCGCCGCACCAAGACGGCGUCACGGAAGCCGAGGAGGAAGCGUUGA